GAAUGCACAGAGAUACCGUGACAAGAUCCUGAGGCUCAUUGUUGUGCCAUUCAUCCACGACCAUCACCUCAUGUUGGAGCAUGAUAAUGCACGGCCCCAUGUUGCAAGGAUCUGUACCCGUGUCCUGGAAGCUGAAAACAUCCGUUCUUGCAUGGCCAGCAUACUCACCGGACAUGUCACCCAUUGAGCAUGUUUGGGAGGUUCUGGAUCGGCGUCUUGAUAUGCCACACCUGUGAGGUGGGAUGGAUUAUCUUGGCAAAGGAAGUAGUGCUCACUAACACAGAUUUAGACAGAUUUGGGAACAAUAUUUGAGAGAAAUGGUGAUUUUGUGUAUAUAGAAAAGGUUUUAGAUCUUUGAGUUCAGCUCAUGAAAAAUGGGAGCAAAAACAAAAGUGUUGCAUUUAUAUUUUUGUUCAGUGUACUUACAAUGUUUAUCAUCAAUUGUCUUUAUUAUUUUUUAGAAGGUGUAGGGAACUUUGGUUUGCCCUUAUGGGCCAGAUGUGAUCAUAGUAUGGUGAGCCUGAUCAUGGUAUCUGAGAAUUUGGGUCAAAGGAUACCCUCUGGAAGCCCUGCAUAUAUCUGUUAUAAUAUCUGUUGAGCCGGGACAUUUUCUUCACUGCAAAGAAAAAAUCCAAAUGACUGGUCAGAAACAUAUUGAUAAAUUUGUGACAACUCAGAUUUUGUGCAAAGUACAGUCUGUGGGAGUAGGGGCAGCAAGGCUAUGGGGGCUACAGAGAGUUCAGGAGUCUGCCAGCUCCAGGAUAGAAGCUGUCUCGUUGUUUUGCUCUUGAUGCUCCGUAGCCUCCUGCCUGAGGGGAGGGGAUGUGUGUGCUGGGUGGGUGGGAUCUCUCAUGAUGCAGGUGGCCCUUUUCCUGCAUCUGGAGGUGAAUAUGUCUGUUGGUGGUGGGAAGGCUGCUGCCCACAGUUCUCUGUGCAGCUUUCACCACUCUCUGCCGAGCCUUCUUCUCUGCUGCAGAGCAGCUGCCGUGCCACACAGUGAUGCAGGAACACAGGACGCUCUCCACCACACAUCUGUAGAAGGUGAUAAGGACUGACAUCCCAAGUCCAGCGCGUCUCAGCCUCCUAAGAAAGCACAGGUGCUGGUGUGCCUUCCGGACCAGGCUGGAAGUGUUGCUGCGCCAGGUGAGGUCGUCCUUGAGGUGCACGCCCAGACCACUUCCACCGCUGUUCCUCCAAUGUGCAGGGGAGAAUGAGGGGGAUAUCUGCCCCUCCUGAAAUCCAUGAUCAUCUCCUUUGUUUUCUUUGUGUUGAUGCAGGGGUUGUUUUCCCUCUUCCACUUCCUGCCUGUAGCCGGACUCAUCGUUGUUGCUGAUGCAUCCAACCACUGCUGUGUCAUCAGCAAACUUCACAAUAUGACAGCUCGGAUGUUUAGGUGAGCAAGGUGAACAGAAGAGGGCUCAGCAUGCAGCCCUGGGGGAAGCCAAUGCUGAGGGUGAUGGAGGUGGAGGAGAUGUCGUGGAUCCUCACUGACUGUUGCCUGUCUGUCAGGAAGUCCAGGGCCCAGUUGCAGGGGGGGGGGCUCAGUCCGAGUGAAAAGAGUUUGUGGAUCAGGGUCUGUGGUAUGAUAGUGUUGAAGGCUGAUGUGAAGUCGAGGAAGAGUAGACGGACAUAGGAGUCUUUGCUCUCCAGGAGAGUGAAGGCUGUGUGGACCACAGAAGAGAUGGCGUCCUCUGUGGAUCUGUUUUCCCUGUAUGCAUUAUGAUGGGGGUCCACAGGGACGUCGAUAAUGUCCUUGAUGUGAGUCCUGACCAGGAGCACAUCAGGGUAAGCGCUACUGGCCAAUCACUGUGGAGCCUUUGGGGAUGGGGAUGAUGGUGGCAGUCUUCAGACAGGUUGGGACAACUGACUGCCACCUGAGGGAGGUGUUGAAGAUGUCUGUGAACACAUCUAACAGUUGGUCAGCACAGCCUUUCAGCGCCCGCCCAGGGAUGUUAUCGGGAUCGGCAUCUUUGACCAUACUGACUAUACCUCGUCUGGAGUUGCAGCUCUAUCUGGAGCCCAGGUAAUUAAACUCAUCAAGACUGAACUUACAGUCCCAACUGACCAUUCUGUGAUACUAACAUGGCUUUACUCUGAGUCUUGCAGGUAUAAAGCUUUUGUUGCCAACAGAAUUGUGAGCUACUCGAACUAACCUCAAGGUGUUUGUUUCAUGGUCGUAGAGGACGUCCCUAUGAGCUACUCUUGGACUGUGGCACCAACUUCAAAGGAGGAAACAGAGAGCUAAAGGAUGACUUUGAAGCCAUCAAUCUCCGCCUGAGAGAACAGCUAAGUAAACACCAAAUACAGCUUGACUUUAAUCAUCCAAAUGCCCCUCACUUUGGCCAAAUGUGGGAAAGAGAAAUAAGGUCCAUUAAAUCUGCUAUCAGGGUGGUGGUGGGCUGCUGCUGAGGAAGUGCUAAACACGGUCCUUGUUGUAAUAGAAGGGAUUUUAAAUUCCAAACAAAUUGGCUACGCAUCCUCUGCUAUAGCAGAUGGUUAUCCUAUUACACCAAAUGUCCUCCUCAUUGCUGGCUGAUCAAUUUUGGUUAAUAAAUAUCUAAACCAACGUAGAGGUGAAUACCUCCACGCAGUGUGUAGGAAUGUGUUAACUAGCUCUGCAUCAAUCCGUUACGUGGAAUCGAUUUGCCUUGACUUGAUGUGCAGGGUAACCAAUCAGGUGUUGACUUGACUUGACUUUGAUGGCCGAGUUUGACAGAUAAAAUAAAUUCAUGAUGCACUGCAACGGACCAUGAAAUAAUUAAUUAAAUUGUGAAAUAAUGAUAUGUUUUUUACAUAAAAUGUAUUGGUAUUUUAAUUAAAUUAAAUUAAAGGUAUUUAAUUCCAAUUUUAAUUAUUUAAUGACACAUUUAAGUAAUUAUUUAAUGGUGCAUUUAUUUAUUUAAUUUUGGCACUUUCCGUCCUCCACAGUUUACAUUGGCUCUGUAUCCAUAAAUAUGAUGAGCUACCACCAAAGAACUUCAAUGACAUCUGCUCUUACUUUUGAUAAAGGUGAUGGUCUUGGGUCUUGUGGUAUAAAACGUGCAAGCAGAACCAUCAGCAUGUGAUUUUAAUUUUCUUAUUCACAUUCAUUAUAUUACAGUCAGUUACCAGAUAGUUUUAUCCAAAGAUUACAAUAAGUAAUCAGUAGUGUAACGACACCCCCUUUGCACCUGUGUGCGUGUGUGUGUGUGUGCGUGUGCGUGCGUGUGUGUGUGUGCGUGCGUGUGUGUGUGUGUGUGUGUGUUUGUGUUUGUCAUAAAUAUUAAAUGAUGGUAUAUUCUUUUUUCCAGAAUGCAUAGACAAUAUGCAGUUUGGGGACCCUUCACAUAUCUCAGUAACCGUGGUUGGUUUUCCUAUACCCUGUACAGUAUCCUGUAUCCUGUAUUAUUAUAUUGUAUUUUAUUUUAUUUUAUUUUUAUGUUUGCAUUUGUAUGUAUUUGUAGUAUUAUUAUUAUUGUUGUUACUGUUGUUGUUGUUAUUCUUAUUCUUAUUAUACUGUAUAUUACCCUUUUAUUUUGAAUAGCAUGCUCCUCCCUUAGUUCAUCGUGUUCUUUGGUGUUGUGGAAAAUUUAGAUUUACCUCCUCAUUAAGAUAAUGUUGAAUUUUUGAACUCCCUUUCUACAUUUGGUUAUUUAUGUUGCUUCCCCCUCCCUAACAAGCCGGGGUCGUAAGAUAAGUGGGUGCUGAUAUCUCCACCUUCCUCACCUGGACCAUCUCUGCUGAUUAGGUCACCUUCUACAUCACCUCAAGAUGCCAAAGCUUAAACAUGCUUGACGAAGCUCAUCAAGAAGCCUGGAAGGAAGAUUGUUAUGGAUGUGCAAUCAGACACCCCAGUAAGGAACAAGACUGUCUGUGGCUAUAUUCGGAUGACUACUUUCCACGUACAUUUGAUCGAAUCAUAGGAAAAUUGUGGACGGUACGGUUCAUUCCGUCUAUCCAGGUUUUCUUAAGAUCAAUCGAUGUUCACGUAUGUGAUGACAUCACAACCCGAGAUCAUAGAAAAAAUGUACGAAAUGUACAUGAUCAGCGGCAACUCUACAAAAAUGGCAUGGUCAACCAAUACUGGAAAGAGGUAGAUCAGUACAGUGUGUAUAAAAAUAUCAUCGUAUUUCCCUUAAAAAUGUGUGCGUGAAUUUGUUUUGAAUGUUUGUUUAUUUUCUAUGUUCAAAUAAAAGUGGUUGUAUUGUA